rnacentral:rRNA from 1 species
CUACGGGAGGCAGCAGUGGGGAAUAUUGGACAAUGGGCGCAAGCCUGAUCCAGCCAUGCCGCGUGAGUGAUGAAGGCCCUAGGGUUGUAAAGCUCUUUCGGCGGGGACGAUAAUGACGGUACCCGCAGAAGAAGCCCCGGCUAACUUCGUGCCAGCAGCCGCGGUAAUACGAAGGGGGCUAGCGUUGUUCGGAAUUACUGGGCGUAAAGCGCACGUAGGCGGGUCGUUAAGUCGGGGGUGAAAUCCUGGGGCUCAACCUCAGAACUGCCUUCGAUACUGGCGACCUUGAGUACGGGAGAGGUGAGUGGAACUGCGAGUGUAGAGGUGAAAUUCGUAGAUAUUCGCAAGAACACCAGUGGCGAAGGCGGCUCACUGGCCCGAUACUGACACUGAGGUGCGAAAGCGUGGGGAGCAAACAGGAUUAGAAACCCGUGUAGUCC